UCCUUUCAGCGCUCAAUCCCGGCGAGUGCAGGCAUCACUGAAGACCUGACACCGGCAGAAUCGGACGUCCACCGUCUCCGGCAGAACAAACCAGGUGUUAUCUCGUUUCCAAACUUUUAUCUCCAUCAAGAUGAAGCCGCGCGUCCUGUCGAUGAGAAGGCCUCUGCUUCGCCGGAGGAACAGACUUUUUUCCCCCCGUCUACAAACGAGCAGAGAGACGCAGGGGCGAGACAAUAACGCCCAGAAGUUAUGAAAAUGAAUCGUAAGUUGGCGAUGUUUGAUAUUUUUCGCUUUUAAUCUCUUCUCUUUCACCAGUUUUCCUUCAGGCAAUAGUUCUGACGGCUACAUCGUCUUUUUGCGGACGACUUUUCAAUGUAUGACUGCAUGUGUCAUUUUUGCGCCGUACGCUUUCUGUCAUUUCUCUUUAAAUUUUACGCAUAUAUUAUCCGUAUUAUUGUUACCAAACGCUUUCCACGCUUUGAUCGCUACACCUUCAAUGCUUGGCUGAUCCCUGAGUGGAUUUUGUGCUGUCGACAUUCUUUGUGUGGGUCGGUAAAUGCCCUCGUUGUGGAUGUGUGGCUGUGUAAGCGCAGCGCCAUAGCAUGAAAUAUAGAUAAAAAGCACACGGUAAACCCGCUGACCCCAGCCAGUCAGGCUGUGCAACCGGUCCACACGGCUCAAUGAGGACAAUUAGGGGGGGCAAGGGAGAGAGAGAGAGAGAGAGAGAAAGAGAGUGAGAGAGAGAGAAAAUGGAGUACUUGAAGCGCACUAAAGCAGGGCUGCACUUCACUUCAACCCGGCAGGCAGGAUAAGGGUGGAUCUUCAAUAACCUUAUGUGACAUUUCCAAUGCAGGAUGUGACUAAAAAUUAAGAAGAGAAGGAAAAUGUUGCUGAAGUUUGGCCCCCGGGUCAGGCUUGGAAAGAGAGGACAUAGUUAGACAGGAAUUCUUCUUGUGCAGAAAUGUUGUUCCACCAAAUUAUUUACGUUAAAUUCCAGAGAACUUGACACACACACACUUUGAGGUCAUGUCAAUCACUGAUCCCUUUUAUUGAUUGGAAAUUUAGGGAGAAGGGAGGGUUGAAGUUUUAUGUACAUAAGAGAGUCAAAGUUGAAAAUGUAUGCCCUCUGAUUUUCCAUGAUUUCUGCACAAUCAGAGGGAAAGACAGAGCGGGUGAGGGUGGAGGAGUGGUGAUGGUGGUGGGGGGAGAGACCGGGGCCAUUUGAUGUUUUGAAAGGCUUCAGAUGGCUUUAAUUAGGACCUAUAAAAUCUGUCUGCCCCGUUCUCUGAGGCGGUGCUCUGGAGAAGCAAGAAGGGAGGGAAGCUGACAAGAAAAAAACAAAACAAAAAAAAAUACAAAAGAAAAAGCAAACCAAUACAGAAAGUCACUUCAGCAAAGGAUUGUCUAAUCAAAAUUUUAUAAGCCUCCUUUUUUCUCUCCCUCGCACACUCCCCUCCUUGAUGCUGGUGGUAUGUAGGCAGCCCUCCUAUUCCCUCUUUGUCUGGCUGCUGUGUUAUCUACACCCCCCCCAUCCUCCCACCCCCCCUCAACCUAACUACCGCCUACAGUCGCCCGAGCCCAGACACCUGAACGCUAGACAUAAUGAUCAAGAGAAGUUCCUGUCUGUCUGGGGCACAGCCAGUUGUUGAAGCUUUUCUUCUUCUACUCAGUUUUUUUUGUACCCGUGCUGACCUGGCAGGCCCUCCCUUCGCCCGUGACUCUUGCUAUGAUGUUAGCGUGUGUCCGUGUGUGUAACUGGGUCGCAAGUUCUCUGCAACUGCUUCUGUUUCUUUGCCGCCGUAUUUCCUAUAUGGAUCUUUAAUGGAGUGUAGGUGACUCACACAGCUGCAUUACACACACACUCAUGAGGAAACAUCAAAGACUUCUUAUGCUCUUGUGUGCGUGUGUGUGUGUGUGUGUGUGGGUUUAAAGUGUGUGUCUCAGAGUGUGUGUGUGUGUGUGUGUGUGUGAGAGUGAGAUUUCAGCUGUUCUGGCGAAGCAUCUGCAAGAUUAUAGGUAUGGGGUUUUGCCCUGUAGUUAUUAUAUUUUUCAUGUUUGUUCAAAAAGCUGGUUUCUCCGCUGUGCUAGUUAACUAUCAUGAAGCGUUGUGUUGAGUGAACUGAAUCUUUUUUCCACUUCUAGGAGGCUUUAAAGCUGUUUUUAUUUCUGCGUUAUGAUGUAAGACCUGCUUUUUCUUGGAGUUCAAAAGAAUUUUAAUCCAAAAACCAAUAAUUUGCCAAUUAAAACAAACAAGUGUUGAAUCUUUUGAGUCCUGAGCAUAACCAUAAAAUAUAAUUCCAGCUUGAAGAUGGCUUUUGUCUCCUACUGGAGGUUUUGAUUGAGUCUGUCGCUUCUCUAAUCUUGAGGUGGGCGUCUUUGAGUCGGCCUAAUGCUGAAGUAGCGUCAGAAGUUAAGAAAAAGGAAUAAAAAGGAGUAAUUUUGAAGCCAGAGUUGGUAAAACGGCACAAUAUGUGCCUUCUCUGACAGACAAAUUCAUCUCCUGGAGUGUCUUCCCUUUGAGGAGUGCGUGUCUUUUGUUUGCUUGAUGUGUGUUGGUGAGGGAUUACAUCAUUUUGCUGCUGCUGGGUUAGCUAGAUAAUAAACUAGCUUGCUUGCCGGAAAAUAGCUGGUUGGAGUGAAGGCUUUGUUCAUGCGUUUGGUUGACAACACGGUGGAAAUCAGUACCGCUACAGUGGUGUAUGUUUGUUUUUCUGUCGCUAAUCCAAUGAGACGAAUCAUUUUGAUUUUGUAUUCUGGGUUGUUUUCGUCAGUGAUGUCCAUUUUUGAUAAACUUGUUUGUUUGGAGAUUAUCCCCUAACAGCUGGAAUAGGCUCCAUCUGAACCUUUAACCCUGUAAUCUGCUCAGAUACCAUGUUAUGGAGUUCAAGUGUUGGUAAAAUUUGCACAAGGCUUCAACCAAAAUCCUGUCUCUUGUUUGUGUGUGUUUUCUGGGAGCCCAUUCUGUGUAUCAUAGCAUCAAGGAGAUUGAGGAUGUCUCUUCCUCUGCCACCACCCUUUGAAGAGGGAAGUAAUAAAAAGCUCAAUGGGUGCAACAAGCUGUUCUGAGGCUUUCUACCUGGAGAUGAAUAGGAGGCCCCUCCAUAACGAAGGGGGAGAAGAGGACAUUUUAUUGGAGGCUGAGGAUGUGGGGGAUGCACCGUUGCUUAUAGACACUUGGUGUGAAAAAGUCUAGUUGUACCAGUUUACAGGAAAGUGCUGUCUACUGAGUUUUAUGUGGGUAUAAUUAUUAUUUGGGCAACCAAAAGGCAUAAUUUUCUAAACCGCUAAUCUGUCAACAUGUUUGAGUAAAAAUGAUUAAAAUCUGUUCAGCUUUAAGUAGGUCAAAAGGGUGUUUUGUAAACAUUAACAAAUUGUCCUGUUAAAUCCAGCUUGAAGUAAAAUACUGUCUUCAUAGUGAGAUAAUACAACAGCCAUGAUAAUGACAUUGGGAAAUCACAAAGCCACAGAUUAGGAUUUUCAGUAACCAGAUUUAUGCGUGAAGGAGUGAAGUCAUGGUCAGGAAUGUAAAUGGCGGAGUCAUUCAAUUACUGCCAUGCCCUUUCCUGGGAAAAGUCCCCAGCCGUGAAGAGGUUAAUUGUUUUUGAAUCUCCAUCCAAGGGGAGAAAAUGGGCGAACGGGAGGGAUAAUUGAGCCGCCGAUAGUUGAGUGGAUUAUGGAUUACUGCGCCUUUCCAAAGGAGAAAAGAAAAAGGAGGUGAACGAGAGAUGAUGCAGAGGAGGAGAAAAAGGGAAAGGAGAGAGUGCGUGAAAGGACCUGUGUUGUGGAUGUAGCCGCAGGGGUCGUCUGGUCUUCUCAAGGAAGAGAGGGAGAUUUUCAAUCCUGUUUAGCCCCGCGAGGUGACCUUUGACCCCUCGCAUGCCCCUCCCUGCUCCAGGUGCAAGCCCUCACUGCUAGCAGCUCACACACAGACACGCAAGCUACAGGCUAAUUUUUCACACGCUCUGCGAGGCACUGGGGGGAAACGUCGUACGAAAAUGUGGAUCCUUUUUGACAUUUUAACCCCCCUGCUUCUUUUUCAUUCUGCUGCGGGAGGUUAAAGAUCCAAGCCGGCCUGUUGGAGUAAGAGGGUGGGGGGUGCUGUGAUAGCACAAGGCCUCUUUUCUUUUUUUUCCCCCUCUCUGUUAUAUUUCUCCCCAAGAAAAUGGAUGAGUGUCUUUAAACUGGGGGAAAAAAGGAUGAUCUGACAUGGUGCAAUAAUCACAGGAGUGUUAAUCAGAGGGAUGUCAUGUAUAAUUACUACAGUGUUUGAUAACGCAACGACAAAACCACCUCAGGCCAUGAGCGAAAGUUUCCCAAUGCUAUUAAUGGGCGUUAAUAAAAUUCAAGAAACCCCGGAUGGAACGAGCCCUUCUGCAUGGCCCGCUGGUUAAAGCACUGUAAGGUUAAUGAACCAAUUUACAUACUUUCUGCUGCCAUCUGGGAGGAGUGACAAGGCAGAUGCUGCCUAUUCUGCACUGUUGUGUUGUGCUGUUCAGCACGGAGGAAUGUGUCAGGUCCACGGAGGUCUGAGCACAUUUUUACAUAAAGCCUGUGGUCAGAAACAAUCAUGGAUGAGCUGUAAAUCAAUGCUGCUGAAAGGUCUAGACUGAGCAUCCACAAGACUGCCUUUGUGUGGUAUUUAACCUGAUCCAGUCCAAUCCAAAUGGUGAAACCAUGAGACCUUCUCCUUAGGUGAACACGAGAAGUGGUUGGUAUCAAAUAUGGCCUCCAAGCUUAAGCUAUUGUUCUCGACAAGAUGCGAUGUUUAAGCGUGGAUUAUACUCUGACCCCUCCCCGUUAGAAGAAGAAAUGUGGGUAGAAGGGAGUCAUCAGCCCCUAAGGUGAUGAGAAACUCGACAGGGGCGAUCAGCAAGAAUCAUGAUCUCUGGGACUUGGAGGGGGAAAAAAGGAUUAGCGUCCGUCCACCUCUCUGCCAUCCUCAUUGGGGUGAUCACGUUACAAAUAGAGCAUCCUCGUAGUGCUCCCUUCGCGGAGGAACACAAUGAGGUCUGUCGGCGAUCAAUAAAGCAGUGUGAAAGCGGGGGGAUAUGCUCAGAAAAAUCAAAGGCGCUGGCUGGCAUGGCCAUCAUCUGCUGGAAUCAGAUAAGGGGAGCGGGGCCUCGAAGGGAAGGUUCCUCAGCCCCAGGGCUGCUCGUCUUGACAGAUUCCCCUCCUACUGGCACACAUGCAGACUGAUUUCAUCUAAAAAACCAAAACAUUUCUGCAUCUAUCCGAUCUUUCUGAAAAUGUAAGAACAGCUGAAGGGCUGGAUGGGUAAAAUGGAGAGUAAUAUAUAAUCCCCGCAGCGUGUUUGGGGUGAAAAUACGCAGCUAUUUCUCUAACCCCUCUGUUGUCCUCCAUGGGUGAUGGCUUUUACCUCAUGCUUCACUUACACGAUUUAAAGAAAAUAAAAUCACCCCGGUUUUUGGUUUGACAAUGUGUCAGAGCUGGUGCGAGUGUUUGUCUCAGAUUAGCUCUUUGUGCCGCUAGGAAAGAGAGAAAAUGGGGUGGAGGGGGGUCAGGGAUGGGAGAACAAUACUGCUGCGAUCCCAGUUGAAAGAAAUCAUUUGCACAAUUUUAUGAAAGCUGUAUUUGUCCGGUCGGAUGGUUCUAUCAAAGCCUAACAGCCACGGUGGAGCGUGAUUUAAAUGACGGGCGAGCUACAAAGCCGGCAGGAUGUCGGGUUAGAGUCAUUUCUCAGCUGAACGCUCUCCAGGUAAAGGCAGAUAAUGCGCUCUCAAGUUUUUUCUUUCUCUUUCUUAAAGAAGUCUAAUUUCUACAGAUGGCUCUGAGCUGACACCAGCGCUGCCAAAGCUGCUGUUCUCAGAGCUAAGCUUGUACAACAUUUAUGUGGUGAAGAUGAAAAGACAUCAUCCCUGAAAACCUAGCUUAGGAGAGCACAGAUUUUCUUCAAAGUAUUAUCAGUUUUUUUUCUAAUUUCCUCCUGUCUUCCCGUCUCCUCUAAGACCCUCCAUAUUUCUGACUAUUAACACUUUAAAUACCGGGGAGCUGCUUGCAAAGGUCGAGAGUUCAGGUAAGUUGAAAAGCAAAACUAUGACGACUUGAAUGCGUUUUCUUAGCCUGGAACCUGCUGUUAACUCGCAGUGCAGAUAAAAGAAGAAGAUUUGCCUCUACCCCUUUCUGUUGUUGUCUUCACUCUCAGAACCCCCUCCAGUACUUCCUGGUGACUCACUUCUUUCCGAGCCAUUUAUGCUUGAAAACUUCCUGAAGAUGAACCAAACAUAUUCUGGGUUUUUAUCGUCGAUGUGGGACCAUUGGGCAUAAUGAAGUUCUGUUUCCCAGCAUGAGUUCGGGAGGCUCAUGAUUACAAAUGCUCUUCUCAUUGUCUCCCAUCAUCUCCUGCCUAAUUGAAGACAAUAUAACGAGACAAUGGGGUCUCGCUCAUCACUCUGCAUCAAUGGCAUGCUCUUUGGAACGUGCCAGUCUGUUAAAUGUGGGGAGGGGUUGUGUGUGUGUCUGUGUGGAUACUUGAAUGCACUCGAGCUUGUUUAAUUUGGACCAAGAAGAUGGACAAUUAAACUACAGCUCCCGGGGGGCCUGUUCAUUUUUUGGUCAGCUUCGCCACUUCUAGGCCGCCCGCCCAUGUAAACGCUCCUGGAUGUGUCUGGGUCAUGUGUAAGGGGGCUAGAGUGAGGAGGCGGGAAGGGAAUUGGGGUGGGGGUUUGUCAAUGUCGGGGUUGUCUCAGAUGAUUAGGACAGCCAAGUGGGGAGAGUCCCUCAGUGCCUGGCCCCCUUCACCUCCCUAAUAUGCUCUGAAUAAGUCCCCCUCUGCUGUGCGUUUGUUGUGGGCUUCAGCGGGAGGUGGGGGGGAUUAUGUCUGGCCAUGGUUUAGGAGUGUUUGUCAUCUGCCCCCUCGAGGCCUGCACCGGCUCCUUUGUCUGAGCGUGAGGCGUUGGUACAAUGUCAAAUCACACAAUGUGCCCCUGCAACUGGGGCCAUCUCGGGUGAGAAACUGACACAGGAUUUCAUGUCCUGAUUUUUCUUUUUCAGAUACUUAGUUUGAGGGGUAAGAACAAAUACUUACAAAAAACAUACUUUUAUUUCGUAAUGUAUUAUUCUUAAUCCAGUCAAUACUCAUUAACAGCCAGCACAUCAUCAUUGUUUCUGAAUCUAUCCAUACAGAUACAUUUAGCAUUUGUUGCAUCUGUGUACAUGACAAAAAUGAGAAUUAUUAUCAGUUAAAAGCAGUUUUUAAAUGGAAAAAGUGGAAUUAAAAACAAGUGCUGACAUUCAUCAUUCAUGGGGAGAAAAAGUUAACAGCAGAAGAGGAAGCAAUGCUCAUUUCUCUUCAGAGAAAAUAAUUAACCAGAAUGCUUUGCAGCCACAGCUUGCAUCUCAGCUAAUCUACGAUUGCAAGUGUGAGAAAUCCAUCAAACUCUUUAACAGCUUUUUUCUCCUAAUUUGAACAAUGAGUCAUGAUGGCAUUGUUUGUUCCCCAGUUUUACUACGCUUUCACUAAUGUUCUCUUCGGGGUGUGUGAAGGAUGUCGAAAAGCUUCUUGAAACAUAAGGACGCCAUUAAAAGAAGUAUACAACAUUAUUUGCAACACUUGACAGCUGAAUAACGCUUGAAAUUCAUUAAACAAGAUCAGUGAAGAAUUAUCCUGAAUCAAGGGUUUGUACCCACUUCAUGUAUAUGCGACUCCAUUCCCGGUCCCUGCAAAGUGUGUAAUUCAGUUUCAUGUUCUCAAAGGUGUUUCUGUGGCUCCACACAGUGCAUCUCUGUAUGAAAUUUGGAAGAAAGAAUCAUUCAUCUCCACACAAUUGCUAUCAAAGAGGGCACAGAACCCAGGCCAAAUAUCACAAGUUACCCUGAGAAUAACACGAAUGUCCUCUCUGCAUACUGAGAAGGCGAAACCUCUGAAUGACUGAUAACAGCUCUGGAGGAUUUAGACGCUGUGGGAGAAGCAGCUUCUGUAGCUUUGCAUUCAAGUCACUUGGCCAUUUGGAGCACCAGGAAAUGACACACAUUCCUCCUUCCCAGUAACAAAAUAAACCCAAAAUCUAGCUUCCUACUAUUUCAGCACAAUUAAGUCGACAAUUUGAGUGAUCCACGCUAUAAAUUGUCAUUUUUGAUUAUAUGGUGUCUGCACUUUUCUGCUCUUCUGGGAUCGCUUUAUCAAAUUCAGGCUUGUGAGUAAAAGCAUGCUGGUUUUUCUCCAAAAUAGUACAAUGCUCUGCUAGACAUUUGGUAUUCAACAUUAUGUUGUUUUUCAGAGUCUGAAAAGUAGACAGUCAGACAGGCAGAUUUCAGAUAUAGGCAUACGAUCCAUAUGACAGUUGACCCAUAAAAUACAACAUCUGCCCUUCCAUGUUAGCUUGUGGAAAAACAAAAUAUGGUAGCCUAAUAAACAAAUAAAAGAAAGCGAAGAGAUUAAGUAUCAAAAUUAAAUAAAACAUGCAGAAAUUAGGAUUGAACCUGUGCAAAUAUUAAACUAUACCUAUCCUAUAUUUGAAUUAAACCUCUAUAGAAGAAUUUACAUGUGGUCAUGAAACACUGAUUUUGAUAGUCAUGCCUCUUUAUGACCAACAAAAGCAAACAUCAGAGUAAGAUCCACCUUUUCUUGAUAUCUUAAUAUCAAGGUAGUUGUCAGGAAAUCAGGAAAUAUCCCCUACACAUCUACAGAACAAUAUCAAUAAAGAUAAAAAUCACUGCUUCGUCCACUAGGGGGCACCAAAAUCAACACAGACCAAAAUUUCCUCAUAGUAGCUUUAACUUUUGGUGUUAUAAUUCAUUUUGCUUGACUGCAAAACACCUGUUUGCUUUCGGUUUCUCUCAUUUCACACCUGCUACUGACUCAUUUUCGUAUCACUUAUUGACUCAUCUCAGACUAAUUACUUUUCCAGUUGCUAAUAAUGCACACACGCCAUUGGCCUGUGUGUUUUGGAGAUGAAUAAGUACGCUACACGUGAGGUUUGAUGACUCCCACAAAGAAGUUUUCAAUUCCAAAAUCCUCCGCACACCCUUCUCUGAGCGGCGAUCGUGAUAUUUCGCAUACAGCUGUGCUCAGAGUGUCGCACAUCGUCGGAAAUAUUUCAAACAAUGAAAAUAAUUGAAGUGCUCUUGAACCGCAUAUCCUGCUUUUAUUUCAUUUUUAAGUAUUUCUCACUUAUUUGAACGUGCCUGAAGGUUUAUUAAAACCAUUUUCAUGAAGUUUUGUGGAUAAUCCCUUCGAGGUUUUUCACAGCUGUGGUUUUAGGAGUGAAGAUAGACACAUCGGUGGACGUUAAUGGUUGUUAGGGUGAGGGUGUGAGUAAUUACAGUUGUGUGUGUGUGUGUGUGUGUGUGUGUGUGUGUGUGUGUGUGUGUGUGUGUAAUUGAGUUUUCCAGCAGUCUCGGAGAGGGUCUCAUCUGACCAGCGGAAAUGUGUUCUGUGGUGUGCUGCUAUUUUUAGACCCGUGUUAUAUUGUAGAUGAGGGAAAAGGGUUGGUUUAUCAAAGCCUCAGAAAGAUUGUUGCGCAUAUUAAUCACUUCUAAAAUUAGUCCCGCCACCUCGGACAACCCGGAGGAAAGUUGAUAAAACUCUGAAAACUGAUUGAAUUUUGGUUGCAGCAGGAAAAAAAUAAUCAAAAACUCUUCAGUCACAUCUUACAGACACACAAAAGAGGUCAGAAAAGGUUGGGGUUAAAUCUCAGACAAAUCUAUCAGACUAUGCAAAUCAUCCUUCAGAGAGAGUCUGACUUUUUUCUGUUACCAAAAAGGAAAAUCACGCGGGGAUGAUCUCUAUGAGGGCAGGAAGCCUUGAAGGUUUGCAUCAUGUCUGCCACGUUCUCCCCGAGGGUAUUCUUCUAGCGUCCUAACAUGCAAAGACACCCACACACACACACACACACACACACACACACACACACACACACACUAAUGCGAGCUACCGUUUUUUCCUCACAGCCCUGCAGGAGUCUGUCUUCAUCUGUCCUAUUGAUUGAUGAAGCAGGCACAGCGGGGCGUCCGAGGGAGGCAGAAGUCUAAAGCAAGACUGUGAGCUGCAUCACAGUCGUACACUCACACACAUACACACACACACACACACACACACACAAUCACUGUCUCUGUCAUGUUCUCCCUGUCUGUCACAGCAGCACUCUGCAAUGACACAUGAGUGUACACACACGCAUACUGAGAGACAUGACACACACAGCAGUGUUGGGGUGACAGGCUUCACAUCAUGGCUCACAAACACACCACAUCACACACGCACAAAUAAUGAAUUAGCGUGGUCCGGCUGCGCCUGAGCCGGACAGGCGUUUUCUAUAAACAUAAUGUUUGUAAAUUAGUCGGGGUUAAUGAUCCGAUUCCGUCUGAGCUGCCGUGUGUGUGUGUCUGUGUGUGUGCGUGUGUGUUUUUGGCUAAGGGGUAAAGGCGCUGCUCUACCGUGCUGUCUCCCUCACUUCCAAAUGCCCCAGGCGCCAUUACAAGAGCAGUAUUUAUGCUAUUAGAGAACUGGCUUUGCCACGCUAGCUGUGCUACCAGAAAGCUAAAAUUAUGUCUCGACUAACCUCGCUGGGCAGGUCCGGUAUUUUCUUUGCAGAAUUGAGAAAUUACAAGUUGUGUACUUUAGGGCUAUUUUUGCGAGACUUCUGUUGGAAUAUUACGCACGUUAUUUCUGAGGCACGUAAACGUGAAAGCCAGAGAAUUAAGGUUUUGUGUGUGCGUUCAUUGAAAGCAGCAAAAAAAAAAAAAAAAUCCAGACUCUGAUUUUUUCUCUCCAUCUUACUCCAAUGUUUAAAAUUAACUUCCUUACCCAAACCAGAAAUAGUGGUCUGCAAACAACUUUACCUUCACCUCCCAGUCAAGUGGAGUCGAUGGGUUCAGUGAGGGUGUAGCCCCUCCAAGCCCCACCCGCCUCCUCUCAUAAAACGGGCUGAGAAACUUCUCUCACGUGGUGCUGAAUGGACAGAAAAGCAGAGGAAUGAAAGAGAGAAUGACUGAAAAGUAACUGUAAGGCCUCGUCUCGCUCUUCCAAAAGUGCCCCCCCCCCCCUUUAGUGUAUUUUUUCCCCUACACAUACCCCCCUCAACACCACCCUCCAUCCUCAGUCCCCUCCCUUCCUCCUCUUCUCUCUUCUCCCCCGGCGUUCCUGUUGAGGCAUGCCUCCAUCCCCGCCAACCAGUAUCAUCCGGGGCAGGGCGACGGGGGCAAGAAGAGAUGAAGGGAGGGGGUGGGGGCAAACAAAGGAGCACUGUUGCUGCCUCGCUGAGGGUUUUUUGAGGGAGGGUCGGGGUGCAGACGGAGCGAGAGUGUGACUGAGGAGGUUUUAUCAUUAAGAAUAGAGAUUAAAAUGAAUGGGAGGGGAGCGGGGGUGUCUGUUCUGUUCACAGUAAUAAAGAGGACAAGCAGUGCCAGUCUUUUUUUUUUUUCACACACACACAAACACACAGUUUGCACUCAGUUGGUGCGAGUGUGAAAAAUAGAGGCGCGAUCGGGGGGGUUAUUUCAUUGUUUUGUGGCCAUUGUACAAUAUUUGCUUAACCCUCAUGCUUUAUCAGUGCAGCUGUACAAUACAAAUGAGAUGGGUGGAAAGUGUGUGUUUGUGUGUGCGCGCCAUGGCGGCUGUCACAGCUGUUAGUAAUUUCAUCAGUGUACUGUAGGACACCCCCUUCGUAGACACGUACACACACACACACACACACACACACAUAAAUGCUGUCAAUUUACGAAGCAGUAAAGCCAUGAUGAACUCAUUCUUCCAGCAGCGUAAUUACACAUCAACUUAGGAUAGCCAAACAGGAAUUGAACAAUAAAGUGGACACAUUUACCCGCCAACAUAGGUAUUUCAAACUGUAAAUGGCUACAUUAGAGCUAUAUGGGAGUGUAAUAAUCUUCCAUUUGCUGCUGGAUGCCAGUCAGUGCUCGCCACCCCCCUCACUUGAGCCUCCUGCUGCCUUACUUAAAGCUACUGUAGCAUAAAUGCACCAGUUGGCACACUUUUGAAAUAUCCCAGUUUUGCUCCAUUUUCCAGUAAAAGUGUCAGUCUAAACUUUGAAUCAGGCUUCCAUGCGGGAAUAUGCUUCUUUAGGUCAUAGACCGCAUUGAGUCGUAAUCUCUGCCGCUAUCUUGUUCACACAUUCCUUCCACAUGCCGAGUAAAAACCUGUUUUGAAAGAUAACUGAAUUUUAGGGGCAAUAACUGGAAUCCCACAUGCCCCCAGACUCUAUGAAUGGAGUGUUUUAUUUCUUUAUUUUUCUUUAUGUGUGUGGUGCCUGUAGAGAUAACACCAUUCCUCUCAAACAGUUGGGUAAUGGUUUGUUUCCCCUCGCUGUCUUUUUCCAUUUCAGGUCAUGAAAGGAGUCUGCAAGAGAAGGAGGAGAAGAAGAAGAAACAGAGUGAGCAUUAGCAGCAUUAGCCUUCAGUGCAGAAGGGAGGAAGGAAAGGAAGCAAUGAAGAAAAGACAGGAGUGAUGAAAGAGAGGUAAGAGAGCUCUGUUUGCCCCGGGGUUGAACAUUGUCUUGUGUCUGUCUCUCCUCUGUUGCCCUUCACCUUGAAUGCCUGACUCAGCUGUGAGCCUGGGUGGGUUUGGUGUUUGCAUGCACGCAUGUGAGUGUGUUUUUUGUUACGUUUGAAUGUGACUUUGUUUGAUUUUGUGUGAGUGUGUUUGUUCCUGGCAUCGAGCCGCAAGCCGCCAGGUGAGGAACAACCAUCCUGCCUGAAUCACCUGAUUCAACCCUAACUUCUUUAUCGUCUUUUUCUCUUUGUUUUUUGUCUUUUUUCUUUCACUCCCAUUUUAAGUGGGUAAACUUUUUAGUUUCAUGGUAAGGUUGCCUGAAAAUAAAAAUUUUGACUGAAUAUCUACCAUUUUAGAUUGCAUAUGUUGUUUUAGGGCCGUCAAACUGCAAAUAUUUGUUCUUGUGAAUAAUCACUAAUCAUAUUUUCAAUUGCAAAUUUGCAUUCAAGACAGUUUUUUUUUUAAGUUCACACAAACAAUUUGAUUCUAUCCAUUUUAGCUUUACUAGCAUUUCUUAUGCCGCAUACUGAGCUGCUCCUGUCUGCUUUGCUCAUACAUGGUGGCUAAAACUAAAAGUACCUCAAUGUUAAUUCCAUUUGACGUUAAGUGAAUAAAUGUGACUUUCAAAAUCUCAGCGUCCUCUACGACAACAGCAGGAAGCAGGAAGACUAUGCGGCAGCGUAACUACAGUGUGCUUAAAGCAUCAAAAUAGCAUUCGAUUACAAAAAUGCUUACACAUGAAUGACCUAAAUCGCAUUGUAGGUAAUACAGUAAUGCAGACAGCCUAAGUUGUUUUGUAAAGAAGUGGUUAAACUGGCCAAAAAUCAUCCUUAAACAUUCUUACAUAUGGAAAUAGCAUUGUCCAAACCAAACCCUGAUCGUAACUGUACUCAUCCGCAUACAUACUUCUCCUUAAUCCUCUUCCUGUUUACAUAUCAGUACCCAAAAACUUUCCCCUCUUGAGGCUGAAGUAUUUUCUCCUCAUCCAUUUAUAUAGUUAAAAUUCAGAGUGUCAGGGAUACAGGGAGCCAGAAAUAAAACUAUUACCUUGGAAAAGCGCAUCGCCAAAAGGCAAAACACAGGAGUUAAAACUGGGAAAAACGCCACCGUAUUGUCUCGGCCGUGUUUCCCUAAGUAAGCGGUUCCUCAUAGAUUCGCUCUCUCUCUCUUUCUCUGUGUGAGCCCGAGAACAGCACUAAAUCAUUUUCCACCGCGAAGGCACAGCAAGAAUGGCUGUCACCAUACUCAGAAACAGGGGACGGUUUCAGAGGAGACACAAGGAGAGGAAAAGAAAAUGUUGUUUUUCUCAGUUCUCUUCAGACUCCCUUCUUAUGAGACUCUGUUCAACCUCAACCUCCCACCCAGAAGUUAAUAGCAAUGGCUUUUUUUUCUUCGUUUUCCCCCAAAGCCGUUUUUAAAUCUAAUCCAGAGAGUUUUACAUACACUUCAUAUACAUAUACUUUUACUUUAUCAUUAUUUUAUCAUGGGCUCUUAAACAUGCAAGUGUAGCUUAGUUUCUUUUUAGCUUGGGUGAAUAAAUCUGUAACUCUCCUCCUUUUCCAACACUAUUUUUCCUCUCCCCCAGUAACACUCACAGUAUGACCUCUACCUCACAUUAACUUAGUAGGAGACAGCCCAAAUUCAAUUCAGCUCAUUUCAGUUCACCUCAACUCACUUCAUAACAACCCAGUCGAACUCAAUUCUCCUUCAAACCCUCCCUCAUGUCUCGCACUCUUGCUCAUUUAUUUUCAGUCUGACUGAACUGUGCAAUCCUCGGUAUCUUCUUACAUUUUAAAUCUCUGCAGUUCUCUCUUUCGAGUUCAAGAAGGUACUCAAUCUUUGGUCGCACGUCCGAGUCUUUUUCCAUAACAAAAAAAAAAAAAAAACAGGAGAUGAUGAAAAUGACCAACACUUGGAGGACUGUUUGGUUGUAGAGGAUUGGGAAACUAUUCCCAGCAUUGAUAAAUCUAUUUUUGGAGUAUUGCGCAUUUCAGAUCUCGGUUUAAAUCACUGUGACUGGACAAGAAAAUGUUGUUUUUGUGAAAGAAACGGUUCCGAACUCCUUUGAAGAAAAAUUUCCUUCUUAUCUUUCAUCAUUCUGAAAUGGAUGUGCUAUAUAUCAAACCAAGUGGGAUUACUGGAGUCACAUGUUGUUGUACAACCACACACACAACCCCCAUUGUUUUGGGCCUUGUUCAAAUGAUGCAAGCGUAGUCUGGGGAAGAAAGAAAGGAAAAAGGUGGAGGAUGUUGUAAGCAAGUAUCCAGGCAUGCGACUGCUCUGUCUUCUUCUCCCUCCUCCGUUUUUUCUUUUCCUCCCUUCUCGAGUGUGUCUGUCCUCGGCUCCAGAGGAAGACUCUCUUUCAGGAGCAGCCAAGUCUGCCUAAGCUGGACUUAAAAAGCUGCGAGAAGUGGUUCUCGUUUUUGGUGUCCGUUUGUGUAUGGGGAGGCGGGGUUGAAGGCUGAAGCCACAGUGUGUCACACGGUUUCAUAUUUCAAGAAGCACGUAUGAGAAAAUGACAGGCAAAUGAGUCACUCCGUCAAGUCACAUUGAUUCACUGCAAGACUCAGGGACAAGGCGAGUAAUUGUCAGUUUCACGCUCACGCUAAAUAACAGGCGACUGAUGGACGAUGGGUUACAAUGAUGGGGUAAAAUCAGCAGGGGAACUGGUAUAAAAAGCCUGAUGGACAAGUGUCGAAAAUGGCAACACUUGUGUCCGCACAAAGGGAAACAGAGAACAAUUGAGUGCUGCUCGUUCCUCCAAUCAACCGGCGGAGAGCUGCAGAUCAGAAUGAGAGCCUUUAUUGAGUUUGAAGACUCAGCGAGGGAUUCAUAAGCAUGAGGGGGCAGCGAUAGAGAAAUUAAAACAGAUAAAGGAGGAUAUCAAAGAGUGUGGGAACCAACAAAAAAAAGGAAAAAGUCUAUAAUGUUGGCGAAUAUUUCAAAGUGAGAAUUAUCUGCAGAUAGAGGGAACCGGGAAGGAGCGAGACAGUGUAGUAGAAGAAGAAGAAAAAGGGGGUGAGGGCCAAUGAAGCGAUGCCUCUAAUGUCUUUAUAAGGUCAUAAAAUUCUGCACUUCCUGGCCUCUCUCUAAUUGCUGCGAGGGGAAGAGACAGGAUGAAGGAGGAAGGGGGGGCUCAACUCUACCUGCCUACAAAAUGAGGCCUCUAAAUCCUUGCUGCUUGGCCUAGGGGGCUUUCUUUUGGAUUGCUUUGCCAGCAACAUGGAUGCAAAGAGAGCGUGACUUGAAAAAAAGUCUACAUUGAGGUUUUCUUUAUCGCUCUUUUGAAUGAGAUUAAAGUUUAGAAGGAGAGAUAAAUGCAAAGACAGAUAAGAGGCAGUAGGAAGGCAAGUAGAUAGGGAAAGGCUCUGUGAUUUAAUGAUCCCUUCAAAGUUCCCUUUGCAUGGAAAUAAAGGUGAAUGCACAAUGACAGAGUUAAAGGGAAAGAGGACUUGAGGCUAUUCCUCACAAUAACUACUUGAAAAUAAAGCUUUGGGAAGAACACACAGAGGGAAAAAAAAGCAGAGGGUGAGAGGAUUUUAUUGACUCAACAGGAAUCAAGCGUAGAAAUGGCUACGCUUCCCCAAGGAGCCGUAUGCUGAACUCUCGAAAAUGUGAAAAGUAACGCUUGCCAUCACUGGAAAAGAAAACAUUUUCAUUUCAUAAACUGCUUGUCUAAGAGAGCCUGCUCCUGACUCUAACCCCUCGAGUCAGCACAGUAGAGCCUUCAGAGGCAGAUACGCCGAUGUGAGCUAAGAGAGCACAAAUUUACUCGGCUUUACUGCCCCUAAAACAUGCGCACAUGGACAUGAAUGGAGGAGCAGCUAAUACCAGUCUAUGGAUCGAAGAGUCUUUUUGUCUUUUUAUAUUUAAGUGAGUAUUUUUUUUCCAAUUCUAGACAUUUAAACUAGAGCACAAACACCAAAAGUCAAAUUAAACACCAAACUUUGAACAAUCUGAGUCACAAUUUCCAACAUUGUUGCUGUUGUGUCAUUGAGUAAUAACUGUACUCUUUAAUGUUGUUCUGCACCAGUGUGCCCACGCAUCUCCAUUGAAAGUGAAUGUCAAAUUUAGGCAUCAUGAUUUUGUAUCCUGGUGUUUAUUUUUAUCUUUGUCCCUGACUUGUGCUGACUUCAUGAGCUGUGCGCCCAACUUUUAGCUUAUUUUGAUGCUGAACGUUGGGGACGGAGGGGAGAGGAGGAGGGGGUGCAUUGUUACUCAACUUGCGGCACUGUAGGAGCUGUAUAACAGUAGCUGGGUUUGGUUUUAUCAGCAGCUGAGAGAAUGAAAGGAGUCAAAGGCAGCCCCCUAAGCUUUCCAUAAUUCGUCCCGCGAGGAGACAAAGGCCCGCAUUCACUGCUGGGUGUCGAUAAGACCUAUCAUUAGUCUGCCAUUGGAGGUAUUACAAACACACACCAAUACACACACCAACACACACAGAUACGCAGAAUGCAGAGAGGUACUUAUUCCUGCACCCAUUCUCUAUCACUCUCUCUUUUUCCACAUACACACGAGUAAAUAUUCAUAUGCGUGCCAGAGGAUGGAGAGAGGCAGCCAAGCUCGACUGAAUCGAAUAAAGACAGGGGAGUGGACCCCUGCUGUUUUCCCAUCACAGCAAAAUUCACUCAGUUUCACAUGUUACACACUCUGCCAUACCUGGUUUUCAUGUAUGUUUUGACAAAAUAAAAAGUAUCUCGUGUCACAAAGGAUGCACAGAACCCUGACAUUGAUGUUUUCACGCACCUAUCCGAGCAAUCUAUAUAUUAAAGUCUUUACCUCACGAGAAAAAAAGCGACAUUUAUUGAAAGAACUUUGAGGUUUUCUGCCUGUGUCAUUCUUGCACUGCAUAUGUUUCACUUGGCGGCACAAAAUUGGCAUCACAGGCUGUUUUCUGUGCUGCAAAAACGGCACGAUUUAGUGUCAUGUUCUGCAAAAUAUUCCAGCAGUUCAGCAUCCGAGCAGACCGUGUAAAGACCAAAGGAGGUUGGCAGCCGUCUCAAUGAUAGAAGUCCUUGUUUACAGAAAUAAUCUGAGUUAAUGUAGUAUUGACUUAUUGAUUAUAAAAUGCUACAUGUAGCACAUUUACUUAACAAGACAGGAGUGAAAUUAGGUUGCAAGAGAGAUAAGAGGAGGUGUCCUAUUAGAUUCUUGCUGUGUGUGCGUGGGUGUGUAUUUGCACUCAGGGUGCGUGCACACCGCUGUCUGGGUCCUAAGUAGAUGAUGGACCGUAGCUCGUAUUCCCAUUCCCUCUCAUUAGCUCUGCCCCCCCGAGAAUAUAUGAGGUUACUUACCUUCCCGUGCACCCGAGUUCCCGGCCAAACGCCAAGCGUUAGCUGAGGGUCAUUAGCCACGCUGCUUGGAACAAAUGGCCUCCGAUAGCAUCUCAGCUAAAAUACAACAAGAGCAGAUUAACCCCUUGAUCUUUGGAGGAUAGCACAGUGAGAACAUGAGGAAGGAAGAAAACAGAAAAGAAACGAUGACAGUUUUUUUUUCAUUCUGGCAUGUUCUGCUUUAAAUGAGCCUUUCCCUGCAUGUUAGACUUUAAGAGUCCUCCUUUUUUCGGCGCUCUCAUUGCGGCUCAACAUCACAGUUGUUUGCCUGAAAACAAAAACUGCAGAGAGAAAAGUGGGCAGAGGAUCAAAGCCCAAGGAGGAUUUGUCUGGCAGAUAGUCGCUGGGGUCCUGCCUGUUUAGACUCCCUCCUCCUCUCUUUCUAUCCGCGUCUCUCUAUCUGCACACCACUAGGUUACCCCCUCACAACACUGCCAGCUUGAAAAUUGUAGAUCAUGAAAAGAAGAGUGCAGUCACAACAACCUCCUCCACGAAG